AAGAUAAUUUAAACGAGAAUUAUUAAUCAAAGAAAAAAACAAUUGACUGUUGCUAAGAUCAAAAGAGUAACGGAAAAAAUUUGAAGUCAAAGUGCGCAAUCAUAAUGACUGUAACCGUUGGUUACAGCUUUUCAAUCCUAUUUACACAAUUAAAAUGUUAAAUAAUAAAUAGCAGAACGACGAUACAAUUAAUAUUUAGACUAGUUGAUUCAUUAAAUUAAUUGAUUUAACAUCUAAAAAUAAAUGUGUCUAAAGCUGAAUUGAAACUGUUGCUGGCUAUAAUAAGAUCAGUAAGUUUAGCUCGUAAGGCUAUUUAUCAGUCAAAUAAUGACGCACUUUGUCAUUGUUACAAAAAAACGGUUAAAUUUUUCGCUUUCAUCAUAAAUUCAUGUGAAAUGUCUUUUCAUCUCAAACUAAUUGUGUUCUUUUGUUUUAAUCCCAAGUGUUAAUCUUUAUUAUGAUGACAUUUUCUGAACCUGCCUUCAAAUCUUGUAAAGAAUUGAGUCUGAAUUUUUGUUUUAGAGAAUGCAUUUCUCAGCCUCUCUCAUGUUUUUGUCAUCAUCACUCCAUCAACGUGAUUUAUUUUUUCUUCUUUUCUCAAUAAAAGGAAUUUUAUUCAUCACAAUUUUCACCAUGACUUUUCCAAUCUUGUUACGCAACCUGUUUUUAUCAUGAACGAUUGAAUUGAUUGUCUUGGUAAAUCAGGUAAAUCACUUACAUAGUUUUCACGGAGAUCUGGAUGCAUGUAAUCGACUCCUAUUGGAAUAAAGAGAAAAGAAAAUGACUUUAUUUUAGUAAACUGGAUUUCUUCUGAGCUUUUUUCGCAUGAAAAAAAGUAAAGGAUGGUUAUCAGAAAGAUCUGAAGUGAGCUUAAUUUGAAAGAUAAACACAAUUAUUUGCUUACCAUCAUCCAUAAUGGCGGUUGUUACAUUUUUCCCUGUAUACCCUUGGGCCCAGGCUGCCUCCACAUUUAAGUCCAAUUUCGGUUUGCCCCCAUUUUGGCCGACAUUUUUCUAUUUUCAUGGUGAUAUCAAAUGAGAAGAGACAGGCUUGGUUAAAGUUGCAAGGAAAUUUUUCACCUUCUAUUAUUUCACCUAAUAUUAUUACAAGUGGAGUUGAUAACUUGCAAGUACAAAGAAAGACAAUUUGCUGACUAUUUGUCUCUAUGUUGGUCCCUGUCUAUCCAAAAUAUAACAACGUAGUUUAUUAAACAAUACUUUUAGAUGAACAGUAAAGGAGUGGAUUAAAAAACUGGAAAAGCCUUCAGGUUGUCUGAGAAAAAAAAUUUUCUCCAGACAUCAAUAAUAAAUCUCUUUAUUCAGAAGCAUUCUGGAUUCUCAAGAAUUGUCAAGAAAUUCCACUUUUGAAAAGAGAAAAAGAAUCAAAGGAUAACUCACCAGAUACCAUUGGUAAGGAAAGUAAGGAUCAGAUGGCUCCUGAUUAAGUGAAAGGUGUUCUGGACCCAGAAUAAGUUGGCGAUAACCACGUUUAACUCGUUUAAAUCCAGAUUGCUGGACCGCAAAAUCUACCUUGUAGGAUAUUGAACAGAUUUGUUGAUCAAUUUGGCCAUUCUAAUGAAAUAUUCCGGACAAGAUUGAACAAUCUACAUGGUGUCAAGUUUAAACUUGCUUUCUCAGUUUGUGAAGUUAAUCUAGAUUUAGGUUAACCCUUACCUGCGGAUCAUUUUUAAGCUUCCUGGUAUGAGAUAUACUUCUUUUUGUUCUGGAAUGUGGUAAUGCCCGAUGAAGAAAAUGAAACUCAUCAGGAGAAUUGAGAAGCUAUAGUUUGGAAAAGAAAGGAUUUAAGGAAUAAAUAGAAGAAAAUUGUACAAUGUUCAUUAAUCUUUCAAUAGUUUUGGGAAAAGUGAUUGUUAUCAAUAUUUUCUCUUGAAGCAUUUCAGACAGUAAAUAUAAUGUUGGUUUCUAAACAGAUUCAUCAUGAUUGUGACAAAGAAUAAAAAAUAUCUGAAGUAUCAUUUGCGAUACUCAUUUUAUCCGGAUAACCUUUGAAACUCCCUGUAUAAAAGAAUCAACAAUUGAUGGAUUAAUUCUUGCUUUAUCAGACUCAGACUUGUAGACGUAUCAUGUUCAUGUUACUUGCAAAACCCUUGGUCUUCGAUUGGGAAACAAACCUAUGGUUUUAUAAGGAUUGUGAGAAAUGGAUUCAAUCUAAAGCUCGAUUGGUUCAACAAUUUCAUUGGAGAAUAACUUUUAACCUUCAGUUUUAGGUUGGAGGAAAUUUGAUAAAUAUAACUGCAAAAUUAUACUCUUUUACAACCAAACAUCAUCAAUCUUCAGUUCUAAAUGAUAAAUGAUGAAUUAAUUUUUUAAGCUUAUUAAUAUACUUUUUUGAAUCUUUGAAUCAUGUUUAUUUCAAUUUGUUAGAAAGCUGGUCCAAACGAACGACAUCAAAUUAAACUUUAAUGGAAUCGAGAAGUUUAACUGCCGGUUAUAAUGAUUAAGGAGCUGGAAGUAUUAAACAUGGAAUCGAACGCCAAGCAGUCGAUCAUUGAAAACUUGCUCAAUCGAUAUACUCAAAUUAAUCUUACUUUAAUUGAAGAAAAUGUCAAGCUUCCUGUGACUUGUAUUUAAUGACUAGAUUGACAAAAAUAUAAUGAUCAUGCAAGGAAAAAAUGAGAUGCAAAUCAUAUCCAUUAUCAUGUGAUAUCAACCUAACCUUGGAAUUAUUCAUUCUUGUUCGUCUAAUUUUCUAUCUCAACUGCUAUGAAAUGUAUUGUACUAUAAUAAUCAGUAUGAAACAAUUUAUUUAAAACGUGACUUCACCGUCACCAAUAGUUAACCUGACUCUGGUAAAUAACCAAGUAAAGAAAGGAUUGAAAUAUAAUCAACUGUAAAUUUAAAGGCUCAAAAUUAUCUGGAUUUUGAUACAUUAAACUGAAAGACUGUUGAAAAAUAAUCGGUUGAAUGUGUAAUGUAAUCGACUAAUAAUUGAAUGAUAUUUGUCUAUCCAACAAUUGAUAAGUAAUAGUUAAUCAAGGAUAACAUAUCAAAUCUUUCAAUCCUCCAUGAAGUGGAGUUUUCAGUAUUUAUUUGGAUGUAACAGUCCAAGAGUAAAGUAUACAACAGAAUGUCUGGAAACUAUCAGCUUUGGAGUGAUUCAGUUUUAAUAAUUAUUUUAACAAUAUUUUAACCAAAAUAAUAAAUCAGAUUGAAACGUUUCUAGGUUCAUUCAAUGAAUGAAAGCUCAAUACAAUAAUCAUUGAUACAAUGAAU